UACGAAGGGGGCUAGCGUUGUUCGGAUUCAUUGGGCGUAAAGGGUGCGUAGGCGGCGCGGUAAGUCGGGUGUGAAAUCUCGGAGCUUAACUCCGAAACUGCAUUCGAUACUGCCGUGCUUGAGGACUGGAGAGGAGACUGGAAUUUACGGUGUAGCGGUGAAAUGCGUAGAUAUCGUAAGGAAGACCAGUGGCGAAGGCGGGUCUCUGGACAGUUCCUGACGCUGAGACGCGAAAGCGUGGGGAGCAAACAGG
rnacentral:rRNA from 1 species